AUUGAACGCUGGCGGCAGGCUUAACACAUGCAAGUUGAGCGGGGUGAUGGUGCUUGCACUAUCACUUAGCGGCGGACGGGUGAGUAAUGCUUAGGAAUCUGCCUAUUAGUGGGGGACAACAUCUCGAAAGGGAUGCUAAUACCGCAUACGUCCUACGGGAGUAAGCAGGGGAUCACUUGUGACCUUGCGCUAAUAGAUGAGCCUAAGUCGGAUUAGCUAGUUGGUGGGGUAAAGGCCUACCAAGGCGACGAUCUGUAGCGGGUCUGAGAGGAUGAGCCGCCACACUGGGACUGGGACACGGCCCAGACUCCUACGGGAGGCAGCAGUGGGGAAUAUUGGACAAUGGGGGGAACCCUGAUCCAGCCAUGCCGCGUGUGUGAAGAAGGCCUUAUGGUUGUAAAGCACUUUAAGCGAGGAGGAGGCUCUUUUGGUUAAUACCCAAGAUGAGUGGACGUUACUCGCAGAAUAAGCACCGGCUAACUCUGUGCCAGCAGCCGCCGUAAUAC
rnacentral:rRNA from 1 species